GACGAACGCUGGCGGCGUGCUUAACACAUGCAAGUCGAACGAUGAAGCCUAGCUUGCUAGGUGGAUUAGUGGCGAACGGGUGAGUAAUACGUGAGUGACCUACCUUUGACUCUGGGAUAAGCCUGGGAAACUGGGUCUAAUACCGGAUACGACCAAUCUCCGCAUGGGGUGUUGGUGGAAAGCGUUAUGGAGUGGUUUUAGAUGGGCUCACGGCCUAUCAGCUUGUUGGUGAGGUAAUGGCUUACCAAGGCGACGACGGGUAGCCGGCCUGAGAGGGUGACCGGCCACACUGGGACUGAGACACGGCCCAGACUCCUACGGGAGGCAGCAGUGGGGAAUACUGCACAAUGGGCGCAAGCCUGAUGCAGCGACGCCGCGUGAGGGAUGACGGCCUUCGGGUUGUAAACCUCUGUUAGCAUCGAAGAAGCGAAAGUGACG
rnacentral:rRNA from 1 species